rnacentral:rRNA from 1 species
UGACGGUACCUGACUAAGAAGCCCCGGCUAACUACGUGCCAGCAGCCGCGGUAAUACGUAGGGGGCAAGCGUUAUCCGGAUUUACUGGGUGUAAAGGGAGCGUAGACGGCAAUGCAAGUCUGAAGUGAAAGGCAUGGGCUCAACCUGUGGACUGCUUUGGAAACUGUAUGGCUAGAGUGUCGGAGAGGUAAGCGGAAUUCCUAGUGUAGCGGUGAAAUGCGUAGAUAUUAGGAGGAACACCAGUGGCGAAGGCGGCUUACUGGACGAUGACUGACGUUGAGGCGCGAAAGCGUGGGUAGCAAACAGGAUUAGAUACCCUG